ACAUCGUCCUUGCCACGGUUCCAUGUUGGCAUUUCUCACAGAGGCCUGUCACAUGACACGCGUCGCAACGCACUCGAGGGCACGGAUCCGAUUCCUCGCUUCUGAUUGGUUGCGUGGCGGGGGCUCGCCCCAAAACGAGAUGAUCUUACUGGAGAAGUACACAGCCACCAGACUCAACAGAGACGCACAGACCAUGUAUGCAGUCACACUCUGGAAGAGCUGCACGAUGGAGCCCAUAAAGAGGGAUGGCACCACCUGAGAUAGCAGAUAAACCUGCACCUUCAUCAUAGCGUAUCCUUCCCGGGGAGCCUGGCUCAUCACUGGGAACCCCAUUAUAUAAUCCCUCUCCAACAAAGUCCGUGUAGAAGAGCAUAAAGGACAUAAGUGCCAUCCAACUGC